ACGACACCAUACGAAUCUACAAUUGCGGAAAGAAGAAAACAAAGAGAAAAUCAAUUUCUUAAGAGGAGUCUCACACAGUUUCAAUUCAAAGGCAUUGCUAUUAAGCUCGCUCAAGCAGGUUUCAUUUCGUUCUUUGCGUGAUUCUGUUCGUGAAUGAGAGAUAAGGCUAUGGUUUCGAUCCGAUGAGCAUGGAGGUUGUUAGCGAUACAACGUUAUUGGAUGUCGAGUUGUUGCAGCUCCCUGAGGUAUCCUCUUUGGCACUCAAAUCCAACCUAAGUCGUUGAGGCACCCUUCGAGCAGCGGCGGCGACGUUGGCUUCACUGGCGACGCGGUUUUUGAAUUCGAAUAGAAGAAGGAGAGAAAGGGGAAACUCCUGCUUUUGAACCGCACCGGACCGGAGGUUGACGAGGGAAACCGUUACCCUGGAUUGUUUCCGGUGACGUCGCAACCUAUGGUAGGAGGAGAAGAGUCCUCUCUCACGCGCAAAGAGAGGAGGGAGUGAGGAGGUCUCUAUGAGCCCUACCAUUGGCGGCGGCUUGCGGCGACUGGUACGCAGGUGUUGACGGCUGGCAAAGUGGAGGUGGCGGCAUCCUCAAGUAGGGAGGCGAACCUUUCCCUGGUCAUUUCGUCUAUGGAGGAGGAGACCCUAGGUCUCUGAAGUAGUGCUUGGCAUAAUGAGGGGAAAACUUUGAAACCCCUAAAGUGUUUCUGAUGCUAGGGCAAAAGAUCUUUGGGCCAGGCUCUGGGCCGCAUUCCUUCUGCCUGCCACCACGUACACUCCCAUUCACACCUCCUCUGUUUGGUCGGAAGCCAUUCUGUGUCUGGC
rnacentral:lncRNA from 1 species